rnacentral:lncRNA from 1 species
UUCUCGUUUGUCUUGUUGAGACUUACAUUUUGAUACCAUUUGCGACUCACUACAACGCUCUGGAGGCACGAAAGGGGCUUUUUUUAAUUAAGAGGCAAGAU